GACGAACGCUGGCGGCGUGCUUAACACAUGCAAGUCGAGCGGAAAGGCCCUUCGGGGUACUCGAGCGGCGAACGGGUGAGUAACACGUGAGUAACCUGCCCUAGGCUUUGGGAUAACCCCGGGAAACCGGGGCUAAUACUGGAUAUGACCUGGUGCCGCAUGGUGUUGGGUGGAAAGUUUUUUCGGCCUGGGAUGGGCUCGCGGCCUAUCAGCUUGUUGGUGGGGUGAUGGCCUACCAAGGCGAUGACGGGUAGCCGGCCUGAGAGGGCGACCGGCCACACUGGGACUGAGACACGGCCCAGACUCCUACGGGAGGCAGCAGUGGGGAAUAUUGCACAAUGGGCGGAAGCCUGAUGCAGUGACGCCGUGUGAGGGAUGAAGGCCUUCGGGUUGUAAACCUCUUUCAGCAGGGACGAAGCGUGAGUGACGGUACCUGCAGAAGAAGCGCCGGCCAACUACGUG
rnacentral:rRNA from 1 species